rnacentral:rRNA from 1 species
AUUCCAGCUCCAAUAGCAUAUAUUAACGUUGUUGCAGUUGAAAAGCUCGUAGUUGAACUUUUGGUAGGAGCGACCUGGCCUUGGGCGCAUGCCCUUGUUUGCCGUGUGUCGUAUCUGGCCAUCCUUUUCUUCUUCGGAAGGAAUCAUUUACUGUGAGUAAACUGGAGUGCUCAAAUCAAGACGUUUGUUUGGUACAUUAAAGCAUGGAAUAAUAAGAUAGGACCUGGUUACUAUUUUGUUGGUUUGCAUAGCUAGGUAAUGAUUAACAGGGACAGUUGGGGGUAUUCGUAUUUAAUUGUCAGAGGUGAAAUUCUUGGAUUUAUGAAAGACGAACGACUGCGAAAGCAUUUACCAAGGAUGUUUUCAUCG